AGCGGUCCCGCGUUAGUGACCUACCAGCCAAUCAGAAAAUAGGACGUCUUGUUGCUGGGCAAUUUUUUUUCCCCGCUGCGUGCUCGUUCCGUGGAUGCGCGUGCACGCACAGGUUGCAGACGAGUUGGAAAAGCAAAGCAAGGUAUACGGUUUCCUGAACUGCUUCCAUUCCACGGACCCCAAGAGCAUGAUCAGCUCAGUGAGGAGUUCCUGGACUAUCAACUGAUGGACAUCCCUAUGACCCAAGACCCAGCCACGUUUGACACUGAGGCUUUCUGGGGGAAUAUGUCAUCACUGAAGAACAGGGUGACUGGUUUGAGCAGAUUUGGACGGCUGUCUGAGAUUGCCAAACUGGUGUUAGUGCUUCCACACUCCAAUGCAGAUGCGGAGAGAGUGUUCUCCAUGGUGGAACUGAACAAAACCAAAACAAGGAACAGUUUGGCCCUGGAUGGAACGCUCUCAUCCAUCAUGACUGUGAACAUGGCUGGCCAUUCAUAAACUGAAAUCCGCGCAUUCACACACACACACACACACACACACACACACACACACACACACACACACACACACACACACACACACACACACACACACACACACACACACACAC